AUCCAGCCAUGCCGCGUGAGUGAUGAAGGCCUUAGGGUUGUAAAGCUCUUUCGCCGACGAAGAUAAUGACGGUAGUCGGAGAAGAAGCCCCGGCUAACUUCGUGCCAGCAGCCGCGGUAAUACGAAGGGGGCUAGCGUUGUUCGGAAUCACUGGGCGUAAAGCGCACGUAGGCGGAUUGUUAAGUCAGAGGUGAAAGCCUGGAGCUCAACUCCAGAACUGCCUUUGAUACUGGCAAUCUCGAGUCCGGAAGAGGUAAGUGGAACUGCGAGUGUAGAGGUGAAAUUCGUAGAUAUUCGCAAGAACACCAGUGGCGAAGGCGGCUUACUGGUCCGGUACUGACGCUGAGGUGCGAAAGCGUGGGGAGCAAACAGGAUUAGAUACCCUG
rnacentral:rRNA from 1 species